UUGGGUAGAGGGGUUUUUGGUGGUGGAGUUGAAGAAGCAGACAGGGUUGGCUUGGGAGUUUGAUCUCCCUUGGGAGGAUGUCUCUCUGGGUUGCAAUGACCUGCCCCAGCUGAGCCUUACCGACUAGGUCAGAUUCCUUCGACUGACUUCUGUGGAGAAGAAGUAUGACGUCGAAAAGUGCUUGUUCGCGUCCAACCUUCAGGAUAUUAAGGACGCG
rnacentral:lncRNA from 1 species